rnacentral:rRNA from 1 species
AACGAACGCUGGCGGCAUGCCUAACACAUGCAAGUCGAACGAGACCUUCGGGUCUAGUGGCGCACGGGUGCGUAACGCGUGGGAACCUGCCCUUAGGUUCGGAAUAACUCCCCGAAAGGGGUGCUAAUACCGGAUAAUGUCUUCGGACCAAAGAUUUAUCGCCUUUGGAUGGGCCCGCGUUGGAUUAGCUAGUUGGUAGGGUAAAAGCCUACCAAGGCGACGAUCCAUAGCUGGUCUGAGAGGAUGAUCAGCCACACUGGGACUGAGACACGGCCCAGACUCCUACGGGAGGCAGCAGUGGGGAAUAUUGGACAAUGGGCGAAAGCCUGAUCCAGCAAUGCCGCGUGAGUGAUGAAGGCAUUAGGGUUGUAAAGCUCUUUUACCCGGGAUGAUAAUGACAGUACCGGGAGAAUAAGCUCCGGCUAACUCCGUG